GUCCCUGUAGCUCAAUAGGACAGAGCAACUGCCUUCUAAGCAGUAGGUUCCGAGUUCGAGUCUCGGCAGGGACGCCA
rnacentral:tRNA from 1 species